rnacentral:rRNA from 1 species
CCUCAAGAUGAGAUGUCCCAUUCGAAAGAAGUAAACCCCCUUGAAGACGACGAGGUAGAUAGGGCAGGGGUGGAAGUGUGGUAACACACGGAGCUGACUGUUACUAAUAGGGUGAGGGCUUGACCAA